AUUCACCGUGUUCGUUAUGAACUGGAACACUUUUCCAGAGGGAAUUCUCCCAGUAUUUAUGGAUUUUUUGACCUGCAUUAUGUGGAACAACUCGGAAACGCGAGGGCCCUUCCCAGUGGACUAUCCCUGGGAAAACAAAUGAAGUAAAAAGUAGGCCUCACUUUGUAUCAAGCUUUCAACGAGCCACGGGAGUGGCUGAAUAAAGAUAUUAAUAAACAAUUUAAAAA